GCCCCCCAGGACCCCCCAGUUCCCAAUUUGGGGUCACCUGGGCACAGCUGGGCACACCUGGGCACACCCAAGCACACCUGGGCACACCUGGGCACGGCUGCUUCGUGUGCAGUGGGAUUUUUGGGAGGCCUUUUUGGGGUUUUUUUUGGGGUUUCUGGAGGAGCUUUUGGGGCUGUGUCUGCCUGGGGCUGCUGGGCUGGCACAGCUGGGCACACCUGGGCACACCUGGGCACAGCUGCUUGGCUCUGGGGGGCACUUUCGGGGUUUUUUUGGGGGGAUCUUCGGGCUGUUGCUGCUGGACUGACUCACCUGGGCACACCUGGCACAGCUGGCACACCUGGGCACAGCUGCUUGGCUCUGGGGGGCACUUUCGGGAUUUUUUGGGGGAUCUUUCGGGGCUGUUGCUGCUGGACUGACUCACCUGGCACACCUGGGCACUGCUGAACUCACCUGGGCACUGCCUGGGCAUUGCUGCUUCACUCUGGGGUGGAUUUUUGGGUUUUUUUUGGGGGUUCCUUGGGGAUCUUUUGGGGUUGUCGCUGCCUGGGGCUGCUGGACUGGCACACCUGGGCACACCUGGGCACACCUGGCACAGCUGGGCACACCUGGCACAGCUGGGCACACCUGGGCAUCGCUGCUUCACUCUGGGGGUCAUUUUUGGGGUUUUUGGGGUCUCUGAGGGCUUUUUGGGGCUGUCGCUGCUGCACUGACUCACCUGGGCACACCUGGGCACACCUGGGCACGGCUGAACUCACCUGGGCACCGCUGCUUGGCUCUGGGGUGGAUUUUGGGGGUUCCUUGGGGAUCUUUUGGGGCUGUUGCUGCCUGGAGCUGCUGGACCAGCACACCUGGGCACACCUGGCACACCUGGGCACUGCUGAACUCACCUGGGCACUGCCUGGGCACUGCUGCUUCACUCUGGGGUGGAUUUUGGGGGUUUUUUUGGGGGUUCCUUGGGGAUCUUUUGGGGUUGUCGCUGCCUGGGGCUGCUGGACUGGCACACCUGGGCACACCUGGGCACACCUGGGCACACCUGGCACAGCUGGGCACACCUGGGCAUCGCUGCUUCACUCUGGGGUGGAUUUUUGGGGUUUUUUUGGGGUCUCUGGAGGAGCCUUUGGGGCUGUCGCUGCUGCACUGACUCACCUGGGCACACCUGGGCACACCUGGGCACGGCUGAACUCACCUGGGCACCACUGCUUGGCUCUGGGGUGGAUUUUGGGGGUUCCUUGGGGAUCUUUUGGGGCUGUCACUGCCUGGAGCUGCUGGACCAGCACACCUGGCACACCUGGCACAGCUGGGCACAGCUGGGCACACCUGGGCACACCUGAACUCACCUGGGCACAGCUGGGCACACCUGGGCACACCUGAACUCACCUGGGCACAGCUGCUUGGCUCUGGGGGGCACUUUCGGGGCUGUCGCUGCUGGACUGACUCACCUGGCACACCUGGGCACACCUGGGCACACCUGGGCACACCUGGGCACAGCUGCUUGGCUCUGGGGUGGAUUUUUGGGGUUUUUUUGGGGUUCCUUGAGGAUCUUUCGGGGCUGUCGCUGCUGGACUGACUCACCUGGCACACCUGGCACACCUGGGCACAGCUGAACUCACCUGGCACACCUGGGCACACCUGGCUGUACCUGGCUGCUGCUGCUGCUGCUGCUGCUGCAUUAAAUUCGUCCCUGAGCGACCCCGGGAGUGGUUUUGGGGUUUGGGGAGGUCCCAAAAUCACCUGGGUGACCCCAAAAUUCACCUGGGGACCCCAAAAUUCAACUGGGGACCCCAAAACUCACCUGGGUGACCCCAAAUCACCUGAGGGACCCCAAAACUCACCUGAGGGGGGCACCUGGGGGACCCCAAAAUUCCCUUUGAGGAUCCCAAAAUCACCGGAGAGAUCCCCAAAACUCACCUGGAGGGCCAAAAAUUCACCUGGGGGACCCCAAAAUUCAUCUGGGGGGGGUCCCAAAUCACCUGAGGGACCCCAAAAGCACCUGGGAGAUCCCAAAACUCAUCUGGAAAACCCCAAAAUCACCUGGGGGACCCCAAAAUUCCCUUGGGGAAGCCCAAACUCACCUGGGGGGUCCCAAAAAUCAAAUGGGAGACCCCAAAACUCACCUGGGG
ensembl:lncRNA